AUGCCUUACACAUGCAAGUCGAUCGGCAGCACGGGGGCAACCCUGGUGGCGAGUGGCGAACGGGUGAGUAAUACAUCGGAACGUGUCCUGUAGUGGGGGAUAGCCCGGCGAAAGCCGGAUUAAUACCGCAUACGAUCUACGGAUGAAAGCGGGGGAUCUUCGGACCUCGCGCUAUAGGGGCGGCCGAUGGCGGAUUAGCUAGUUGGUGGGGUAAAGGCUCACCAAGGCGACGAUCCGUAGCUGGUCUGAGAGGACGACCAGCCACACUGGGACUGAGACACGGCCCAGACUCCUACGGGAGGCAGCAGUGGGA
rnacentral:rRNA from 1 species